AGAGUGAGUUCAAGACGAACUCCGCAAGUAUAACAACUAGAUUGUAUAGAUCCCACAAUCUCAUAAUCAAUGUGACAUAAAUAAUGUAGAGCAUUAAACAAUAAUCAAUGAGUUUCUUAACACAAGAUUCAUCACCCUUAAUGUAAGAGUUCCCAAGGCCGCUCGUGACCGUGAGCACGGCUAGUAUACCAGUUUUUAACACUCUGCAGAGGUUGUACAUCUUUACCCAUGAGUCAUGAUUUACCCUUUCGCCUGAGGUGAUCAGCCUCGUAACCCACUACUAAGGUAGGUCGGCAGGGAUCACUAUGAAGUCUUUCAAAGGUUCGUCUAACAAGUUAGAGCCGCUUGGUUUCGUUAGUCAGUCUGUGUGAUUCUACCCCGCAGGGGAUCCACGGUCUGCUAUCCCCCAUUUGCGCCACACGGGUAACCUCUAACAAGCUAGAAAAAUUACUCAUACUUGACUAAAGCCAGAGCCAUUAUAGCCCUCAUGGUUGCACUUUCAUCCCGGUUAUCACUUACGAAUAAAUCCUCAAGUUGCUAAAAAGUCAUCAUUAUCAUUUGUUGCUUUAUAUUAAUCUAUUCACAAGAUCAUAGUCAUAGAAUUAAAAUCCAAAUGCUAUACUUGCCUUGAUCCAAUUGCUCCUGCUAGUCCUGCUGAUUUUACUGGCUUCCAAGACUCUGAUCUUGAUAACCGAAGUAAUACCCACUGUCUAAUCUCGAUCAUCGAUUAUCAACACACAAACAAUCGGAGACAGACAUACACGAAGCAAACAAGAUUAUAAUUAGAACAGUACACCAGCAGUAAAUAAAUUUAAAUAAAUGUUUUCCAAAAUCAUCUACACGCUGCUACGAUCAUGUCAACGAGAAAUUUACGGAAAAUGGAGUUACGACGCGAAAGUUACGCUUUUAACGGGACUUCAACAGCAGUUUACGGACUUGUAAUUAACUAGGGAAUCUACGAAGCUUAUGAAAUUAUUAAACUAACGCAACUUGAACGGAUCGAAUCGGAGCUAAAACGGAGAAGAUAUGAAUUUUCUAGGAUCUUAUAUAGAAAAGUAAUUAAUUAAAUAGGGUCACAAAAUUAAAAUGUUUCAAAUUGAUGAAACAAUUAGACUAACAUGUAAAGCUCGUGAUUACGAAUCUAACGUAAUUUGAACGGGUCAAAUCGGAGUUAAAACGAAUAUUUUAUGGCCAAAACAUUGCAGUGGCAAUUCUGUAAUUAAUUUGAAGUCGAAAAUGAAAUUUAAAUCAAAUUUCAAUCUGGAUCUAGAGUUGGCCUAGGACUGCGGGUUCUAUAUCUAUGAAGUCUAGGGGCUCUUUAAUAAAAAUCCCCGCGAAGGGGUAAGUUCUAAUCAUGGCCGUUGGAUCAAGCUUGGAUGCGCAUGAUUAAAAGAAAAAAAAGAAAAAAAGAGAGAGAGAGGGAGGGGGUGGCACACCGGCCAGAGCUGGGCAGAGACACGGCGGUGGCCAUGGAUUCCGGCCAAAGCUCGCCGGCGCAAAUGGAUCGGGAGCUACGGUGCAUGGUUUUCGAUUCCGAAAGCACCGGGGGAGAGAGAAGGACGACGCGAACCCACCCCUGCCUACUGCGCGGCCGGGGAGCGCCCACGAGGCAUGCUCCAUGGCCGGCGGCCAUAGAGCUCGCUGGAGCACGCGACUAGAGCGCUAGAGGGCACCAAUUCACGCGAAAAUUGGUGGGAAGAACUCGGGGAAGAAGAGGAGCUCACCAGCGCGACCAAUUUCAGUAGGGACGGCUCGGUUUUUGAGUUGAGCGCGGAUGUCGCCGGCGGCGUCCUUCGCUAUGGCUGCUGCGCGCUCCAAGGCGAAGGUAGGGGCAGGGAGAGAGGGGAAUGGAGAGAGGAUGGGGCUCGGGCUCGCACGCAACUCAAAUCACCAAGGCGCGGGGGCUAGCGAGUGGAGAACGUGGGAGCGGCUUCGGCUCGGGCGGUUGCGCAGCAGAGAAAGGGGAGAGGGAGGGGGCGGUUGGAGGAAGAAGAAGUUGCUGACGGGUGGGUCCCACAUGGCAGAGAGAGAAAGGGAAAGGAGGAGGCGGGCUGGCAGAUGCUGCGCGAGUUGGGCCGGGCUGGAAUGAGAGAGAGGGGGAGGGAAUAGGAUUUUUCUUUUUAUUUUUCAAUAAAUUUUCAAAGCUCAUUUUUUUAAAUUUGAAUUUGAAUAAAUUCUCUUUGCAAAACUUCACACAUCACAAAAAUGAAUGUUGCAGCAUGUAUGCAUCAAUAUAUUUCUAAUCUUACAGUAAAUUUUAAUUUCCCAAAAAUUAUUAUUUUUCCUAUAUUUUGAUGCUCACAAAAUUGACUCAAUAAAUCAAAUUCAACUAUUUAAAACAAGAGAAUUUUUAGGGUGUUACAAUUCUACCCCCUUAAAAUAAAUCUCGUCCUCGAGAUUCGGAAGAGGCUCCGAUCCUCUCAGAGAAACAGGAAAAUAUCUUGAUAAUCCUUUCAACUUCACAACUUGCAUACCAAACUUAAACGCUUGUCUCAAGGCCACACCUCGUGAACAUAACUUCCGUUGAAUAACUAUUAUUCAUAAUUGACCAAAGUCCAUCUUGACUACUAACUUCUUUUAAC
rnacentral:lncRNA from 1 species